rnacentral:tRNA from 1 species
GGGGCUGUAGCUCAGAUGGGAGAGCGCAUCGUUCGCAAUGAUGAGGUCAGGGGUUCGAUUCCCCUCAGCUCCACCA